rnacentral:rRNA from 1 species
UACAGAGGUCUCAAGCGUUGUUCGGAAUCACUGGGCGUAAAGCGUGCGCAGGCGGUUUUGUAAGACAGACGUGAAAUCCCCGGGCUUAACCUGGGAACUGCGUUUGUGACUGCAAGGCUAGAGUACGGCAGAGGGGGGUAGAAUUCCACGUGUAGCAGUGAAAUGCGUAGAUAUGUGGAGGAAUACCGAUGGCGAAGGCAGCCCCUGGGUCGAUACUGACGCUCAUGCACGAAAGCGUGGGGAGCAAACAGGAUUAGAAACCCCAGUAGU